GCCUGCUCCUCUCGGAAAGGGCCAUUUGAACAACGUUUUCGAUUGGCUGGGAAAGGACAGUACUGGAUCAAAAGAUAGCCUUCCGCCUAUUGGCCCGGAGUUGCUAGGGCUGAGAGCAAAAGUGUAGCCAUUGGCUGGAGGCCAUAGCAGGAAUCUCUACAUUCUCUUUUCCUAGAAGUGCGUGGGGGCUCACGCUUAGAAAUGGUGCAGUGGCGUACGCGCAGUGGCUAGUCUUCUCUCGUUGUUAUCAGAGAAAGAUGAGACUAUGGAAGAAGGGUGAGAGAGAGAUGCAAUGUUGAUGAUUUUGGAGAUAGAGGAAGAAGGCCACAAGUCAAGAAAUGUGGGCAGCCUCUAGAAGAUGAAAAAGGCAAGGAAACAAUCUCCCUUAGAGCCUCUAGAAAGGGAUAUGGCUGUAUUGAUUGCUGCCUUGAUUUCAGACCUCAACAGGCACUGCACGUGCUUCUGCAAGGAGUCCAGGGGUGCCCGGGAGGAUCCUUCUUGGUACGUAUGCAGCCUGGGCUUCUAGCCUGCUGAGAAGAGAGC